rnacentral:tRNA from 1 species
GCAGCGGUCGCCGAGCCAGGUCAAAGGCGAAGGACUCAAGAUCCUUUCCCGUAGGGGUUCGUCGGUUCAAAUCCGACCCGCUGCA